GUGGGAUGAAUUGAUGGAUGGAUAAGUGAACCAUUAAAUAGAGAGAACGGCCAUAAGAAAUCGAGAAGACAUGCUUACUCAUACAAUCCUCCUGUAAUGUAAGAGUAGCUCCUUCUGGAGAAAUAUACUCAAUCUUGUUUGCCGUUAACCACACUCAGAGUUCCUGAAAGGGCCUAACAGCUCAUGGAAUUAGCUUAUGCCAAUCCUGCACACAAAAUGCCACUCACAGUUCAGUCCCCGCCUACAAGCCGCAUCUUCUAAUGCCUUCUAACAAAAUAGACCACUCGCACUUUUUGCAAACAUGCUAUAAACAGUAGUAAACAAACUUUAACAACAAAGUUGAUAAACAUUACUUUCCAUUCACUUAUGUCUUUUCUGCCUCUGCUUCAGAGUAUUAAAAGAAGAAGGCUCAACUGUUCAUCCUCCCUUGCAGAGCAAGAAGACAUUCGGUGGAGCUUUGUCUGCCUACUGCCCCUGAGGAGGGUUGCUCUCCUUAAAUUACUACAGCUGGGAAACUACAGGACGUUGCCAGACUGUUUGGGAGUGUGGGGUGAUGCUGUGUCCGUGCUACGACAUUGCCUUUCAGGACUGCACCCCUCGGUCUCCACAAGAACAAGCUUCCCAACGAGUCCUGUGAGAAGCUAAGGAGGAGCAGGACUCCGGAAGGUGCACAGCCCCCUGGUGACCGGAGGAGGAAACUGCAAGCCUUCCCAGCACGGAGCCCACCUCCUGCAAAAGGCUACCCCGGUGAAAGGGUCACUCGACCACUGCUUUAUAAGCUACCUCUGGCUACAUUGAGCCCUGGAGAGAAGAAAGGGGGAAGCAGGAAGGCCGUUUUGGAAUCUAUAGCCACCAUCUAAGUAGAGAUGCUGGCCAUCUGUGGAGAGGUGAAAAGGUGACCAGCGUAUUCCUGGUAUAUUUUGAGGGUAGAAUUAGCAGGACUUUCUAAGACCAUGGAAUGAGGGAGAGAGAAGCCUCAUGUGUGGCACUCAGGCUUGUGCUUUGAGCGAGAUGCUGAAGGUACUGAGCGGUCCAAGGCGGGGCAUGGAGGGGCUGAGUCAGAGGAAGGAAUCUGUGAUGGGCACCAAGAGUACAGAUUAAACAGGCUCAAGUGACACUUUUGAGUUGUUAAAACAAACAAACGAACAAAUAAACAUCUAGCAAAUGGGCAUGAAUCAGUCUCAGGUGGGAUGUACACCAUCAAGAUGAUGGCCCACCGACUCCUUCAGCCUCCCUGUGUCUCAUAGGCUUCUGGAUUUGGCCAUUCCUCGCUGACCAACCCCGGCACAGUAUGAUGACCUUUGCUCACACGGCUGUGACUUCGUCUCUCGACACCAUAGGGAGGCUCCAGGGAUGAGAGCGAAGUUUCCUUAAGUCUUCCACGUCACAUCAGGAGAACCCAUGUCCUGCCAGUGGACUUUUGCCUCUCAGCGUGUCUCUAGAAAGGCUGUGUGACAUGAUCAGAAAGCGUAAAAACCUUAGCACCCCUGGGGCAAACUUCAUCCAGUGGGAAACGGGGGGGGGGCAAAGGAACACGUGAGCACCUCGUCCUUCCGGCAUCAUCUCCCCACACGGUGUAGCCCGUCAAGCACCAGCUAGGCUUUUGUAGGGCAGCUGUGACCUCGUCACGCUGCCGUUAGCUGCCCUCACUCUCUGUCCCACAAUGCUUCUCCUCCAUUCUACCUCCCUGGGCUUCUUCCCUUCAACGAGACCUUCUCCUCAGAUGCUUUGCCUCGCAUCUGUUUCGUAGAGAACCUGCGCUAAAAUUCUGGUGUCAACAAACAGUAAUGUGCACCUUAUUCCGUAAACAUUUAGAAAGCACACAUUAUAUGUUAGCUGUUAUCUUAUGUGCCCCACGAAUGCUAACAUGUUUAUCUUUAUCAUAGCCAUCGAAGGAAGAGAUCUGUUUCCUUACUUUCAUUCUACAAAUGGGGAAACUGUGGCAGGCAUGCACAGUAGCCAGUUGGCCUUGCUGUUCAAAGGAAGCAUGAUGUACGCUAUGGACAGUGUCCUAAACCUUCUGGUAGCCAUAUUGGAAAAGCAAAAGAAAGAGAUGAAAUUAACUUUAAUUUUUUUUAAAAAAUUAACUAAAUAAAUCCAGGCUACUAUUUCGAAAAUGAAGUCAUCACAUAAAUUUCAGUGAGAUACUUUGCAUUUUUUCUUACUGACUCUUUAGUUGAGUAUCUGUGUUACAUUUGCACUACAUUUCAACUUGGACAAGCUAUAUUUUCAGACGAGAUCGGGUGCGUUCAGGGUGGUAUGGCUGUAGACAGACAAGCUAUAUUUUCAAUGUCCAGUAGCCACAAGUGGCUGGACAGUGCCGAACUGUAUGCCAUGUUGUUUCAUGAACCAUGGUAAAAGAGUGCUGCUUCUAAGACAUUGCUCCCACUCCUCAAUUCAGAUAUAAAUGUGGAGGAGGACCCUGUCCUUAAUAGAAAGACAGAAUUGUUAGUGGAUGAAACUUCGCUUACUGUUCUCGGUUCUCUGAUGAUAACUGUUGCAUGGCUGUCUGCAAGCGCCGAGAAAAAGACAGUGAGCACAUUGCCAGCAAACGUGAUAAAAAACAUCCUGGGAAUAGAUGUUUAGAGUUUGUGCUUUUGCCCAGACAUGGGAAUGCUUGGGAUUUUUUUUAUACUGUACACAGUCAAAGCUUGGGUGUUUUCUGCUAGCGGAACUGUCCCUAGUUUAUGUGGCUGAAAUAAACUUUCAUCUGAA